UACGUAGGGUGCAAGCGUUGUCCGGAAUUAUUGGGCGUAAAGAGCUCGUAGGCGGUCUGUCGCGUCGGAUGUGAAAUCCAGGGCUCAACCCUGGACCUGCAUUCGAUACGGGCAGACUAGAGUUCGGUAGGGGAGACUGGAAUUCCUGGUGUAGCGGUGAAAUGCGCAGAUAUCAGGAGGAACACCGGUGGCGAAGGCGGGUCUCUGGGCCGAAACUGACGCUGAGGAGCGAAAGCGUGGGGAGCAAACAGG
rnacentral:rRNA from 1 species